rnacentral:rRNA from 1 species
UACGUAGGGUCCGAGCGUUGUCCGGAGUUACUGGGCGUAAAGCGCACGCAGGCGGUCUUUUAAGUUUGGAGUGACAGUUGGUGGCUUAACUGCCAAAGUGCUUCGAAAACUGACAGACUUGAGGGCUUCAGAGGGACACGGAAUUCCGGGUGGAGUGGUGAAAUGCGCAGAUAUCGGGAAGAACACCCGUGGCGAAGGCGGCUCUCUGGGACGGUACUGACGCUGAGACGCGAAAGCGUGGGGAGCGAACAGG